rnacentral:rRNA from 1 species
GGAUUAGAUACCCUGGUAGUCCACGCCGUAAACGAUGAGUGCUAAUCGUCGGGGGUUUAUCCUUCGGUGAUACAGUUAACACAUUAAGCACUCCGCCUGGGGAGUACGGGCGCAAGCUUAAAACUCAAAGGAAUUGACGGGGACCCGCACAAGCGGUGGAGCAUGUGGUUUAAUUCGAUGCUACGCGAAGAACCUUACCAUCCCUUGACAUCUUGAUCGCGGAUUUUGUUAUGGAAAUCCUUCGGUUCGGCCGGAUCAAUGACAGGUGUUGCAUGGCUGUCGUCAGCUCGUGCCG